rnacentral:rRNA from 1 species
AUUGAACGCUGGCGGCAUGCCUUACGCAUGCAAGUCGAACGGCAGCGCGGACUUCGGUCUGGCGGCGAGUGGCGAACGGGUGAGUAAUACAUCGGAACGUACCCUGUUGUGGGGGAUAACUAGUCGAAAGAUUAGCUAAUACCGCAUACGACCUGAGGGUGAAAGUGGGGGAUCGCAAGGCCUCACGCAGCAGGAGCGGCCGAUGUCUGAUUAGCUAGUUGGUGGGGUAAAGGCCCACCAAGGCGACGAUCAGUAGCUGGUCUGAGAGGACGAUCAGCCACACUGGGACUGAGACACGGCCCAGACUCCUACGGGAGGCAGCAGUGGGGAAUUUUGGACAAUGGGGGCAACCCUGAUCCAGCAAUGCCGCGUGUGUGAAGAAGGCCUUCGGGUUGUAAAGCACUUUUGUCCGGAAAGAAAUCGCGCUGGUUAAUACCUGGCGUGGAUGACGGUACCGGAAGAAUAAGCACCGGCUAACUACGUG